rnacentral:rRNA from 1 species
UACGGAGGAUCCAAGCGUUAUCCGGAAUCAUUGGGUUUAAAGGGUCCGUAGGCGGUUUGGUAAGUCAGUGGUGAAAGCCCAUCGCUCAACGGUGGAACGGCCAUUGAUACUGCCAGACUUGAAUUAUUAGGAAGUAACUAGAAUAUGUAGUGUAGCGGUGAAAUGCUUAGAGAUUACAUGGAAUACCAAUUGCGAAGGCAGGUUACUACUAACUGGAUUGACGCUGAUGGACGAAGCGUGGGUAGCGAACAGG